rnacentral:rRNA from 1 species
GUAAGGAAUAUUGGUCAAUGGGCGGAAGCCUGAACCAGCCAUGCCGCGUGCAGGAAGACGGCCCUACGGGUUGUAAACUGCUUUUGCAGGGGAAUAAACCUUGGUAUGUAUACCAGGCUGAAUGUACUCUGAGAAUAAGGAUCGGCUAACUCCGUGCCAGCAGCCGCGGUAAUACGGAGGAUCCAAGCGUUAUCCGGAUUUAUUGGGUUUAAAGGGUGCGUAGGUGGUUUUUUAAGUCAGGGGUGAAAGACGGCAGCUUAACUGUCGCAGUGCCUUUGAUACUGAAGAACUUGAAUGAACUAGAGGUAGGCGGAAUGUGACAAGUAGCGGUGAAAUGCAUAGAUAUGUCACAGAACACCGAUUGCGAAGGCAGCUUACUAUGGUUUAAUUGACACUGAGGCACGAAAGCGUGGGGAUCAAACAGGAUUAGAUACCCUUGUAGUCC